AGAGUCCUAAAGUGUACGUAAUGAACCAAAUGUUUUGACCGAACAUUUUUUGAUCGGGAGCUUGUUGUUUCCAUCCGGAGUGCAUGCCUCUAUGAAGGACGUACAAAAGAUGGAACAGGGCACCCACCUGCUGGGAGCGGGUUUCAAAACUAGGGUUUUUAUACGGCACAGUUGGGACUCUC
rnacentral:other from 1 species